rnacentral:rRNA from 1 species
GACGAAGGGGGCUAGCGUUGUUCGGAAUUACUGGGCGUAAAGCGUGUGUAGGUGGUUGUCAUAGUCAGGUGUGAAAGCCUUGAGCUCAACUCAAGAAAUGCACUUGAUACUGGGCAACUAGAGGGCCGGAGAGGAUAGUGGAAUUCCCAGUGUAGUGGUGAAAUACGUAGAGAUUGGGAAGAACACCAGUGGCGAAGGCGGCUAUCUGGACGGUUUCUGACACUAAGACACGAAAGCGUGGGGAGCAAACAGG